rnacentral:rRNA from 1 species
UACGGGGGGAGCAAGCGUUGUUCGGAUUUACUGGGCGUAAAGGGCGCGUGGGCGGUCAGCACAAGUCAGUUGUGAAAUCUCCGGGCUUAACCCGGAAAGGUCAACUGAUACUGUGCGACUAGAGUGCGGAAGGGGCAACUGGAAUUCUCGGUGUAGCGGUGAAAUGCGUAGAUAUCGAGAGGAACACCUGCGGCGAAGGCGGGUUGCUGGGCCGACACUGACGCUGAUGCGCGAAAGCCAGGGGAGCGAACGGG